rnacentral:rRNA from 1 species
UACGUAGGGGGCAAGCGUUGUCCGGAUUUAUUGGGCGUAAAGAGCGUGUAGGCGGUUAGGUAGGUCCGUUGUGAAAACUCGAGGCUCAACCUCGAGACGCCGAUGGAAACCAUCUGACUAGAGUCCGGAAGAGGAGAGUGGAAUUCCUGGUGUAGCGGUGGAAUGCGCAGAUAUCAGGAGGAACACCGGUGGCGAAGGCGGGUCUCUGGGCAGUAACUGACGCUGAGGAGCGAAAGCGUGGGGAGCGAACAGG